AAUCUUAUGGGACCACCAUCGUAAGUGCAUGGGCCGUUGUUGACCAAAAUGUCAUUAUGUAUGUGACAGUGUUACCGGAAUGCUGGUCCUGGUCUAGACCCCAAGAGAGGGUUCUUGGACCUCACGCAAGAAUGAAUUCAGGGAGAGCAGCAUGUCUGACGUAGAGAGUAUGGACUACUGGAUGAUGGGAAGGCACAUUGAGUGGAGUGGAUUCUGAAGUUCAAAAACAUGACAGACAACUCUGGCACCUGCUGAGUUUGAAAGGCCUAAGUACACUUUCUUAGUUUAUGAAGAUGUGCCUGAAGAUAGUCCCAUUGGAACAGUGAAAGCAAGAGAGCCCUUGAACUCCUCAGAACCAAUCUUUUACAGGAUUUCUUCUGGUGAUCUCGGCGGAAAGUUCUCCAUUCACCCGCGGCUGGGCACUAUUCGCACCCGGAAGCCCCUGGAUCACGAGACGCAGCCCGUGGUUGUGCUCACGGUGCAGGCGCAGCUCGGCAGCGCUCCAGCCUGCAGCAGCACCGAGGUCAACAUAACGGUCAUGGAUGUCAAUGACAACCACCCAGCGUUCC
rnacentral:sRNA from 1 species